UACUAGAGUCAGCACUCGCAUAUCAAUAAGCGGAGGAAAAGAAACUAACAAGGAUUCCCCUAGUAACGGCGAGUGAAGCGGGAAGAGCUCAAAUUUGAAAUCUUAAAGGGUUUCCCUUUACGAAUUGUAGUUUAAAGAAGUGUUUUCUGUUGAGGUUUUGGUAAAAGUUCUUUGGAAUAGGACAUCAUAGAGGGUGAGAAUCCCGUAUUUGACCUUUACUUUCAACUUUGUGAUACACUUUCAAAGAGUCGGAUUGUUUGGGAAUGCAGUCCAAAAUGGGUGGUAAAUUUCAUCUAAAGCUAAAUAUUGGCGAGAGACCGAUAGCGAACAAGUACCGUGAGGGAAAGAUGAAAAGAACUUUGAAAAGAGAGUUAAACAGUACGUGAAAUUGUCAAAAGGGAAGCGUUUGACACCAGUGUUGUUUUUCUGAAAAUCAAUUAAAGAACUGUUUAUGCUAAGCUGUUUAGACUUUAUCAGCUAAUCUGUUUAGUUUUGAGCUUUUCUUUAAUGCACUUUUCAGUUAACAAGGUCAACAUCAAUUUCUUUUGCUGUAAAAAAGCUUGAGGAAGGUGGCUUGAGAUUCGUCUUAAGUGUUUAUAGCCUCUUGCCUAUGCAGUCGGAGAGAUUGAGGUCUGCAGCGUAGAUCCUUCGGGGCUAAAUGCAUUUGUGCUAAGUUAUAGCAUUUUAUAGACAACUUGUUGACUAUGAUUUGUCUUGUAGCUUACUCGCCUAUGUUAUUUUACCUACGCUUAGGAUGUUGAGCGCAUGUCUCUCUCU
rnacentral:rRNA from 1 species